UUGAAGAUGACAAGCUGCCAGUCAAUAUACAUAAAACCCUAAGUGAUAUCAUAACAGGAACUUGUCGCCCGGAAGUAUUUGAGACUUGACCAACAUGGACGACGUGCCCUGGGAGAACCUUCAACACGCACUCGCCCUCCUUGCGUUCCCUUCUGACACUCGGGUAUCACCACACAAGGAGUUGCUCGAUGCGUCGAGGUGGAAUGCCUCGAUUGAAAAAUUUCGUCAAGACUAUUUCCGCCUCUAUCAGUUGGCUCCAUUGUCUGUGUUGGCUGUUGCGUUGCAAGCUGGUCUCUCCACAAUGAAAACUCCGCAAUGUUAUCGCCCAAUGGAUCAGAGGAAUGUUGAAUGUCCCAUGUGCCAAGAACUAUUGAACAAGUUUGCUGAACGAUUACUCACGCUCAUUGCUCACAAUCAAGAUAGAUCUGUCGCUUUUCGGGCCUAUCUCUUAACGAACAUAACUUACCUAUGAUGCUACCCAACGGUCGUGUGUACGGAGAGCAGACAUUUAUCAGUUUUCGUGCACAAGUUCAACCAUAUUGUGUUUGUUUUUGAAUCAAUAGGCCUUGCGGACUAUACCUGUGCUCGCAGCAAAGAAGUCUUCGCUGUCAAAGAUGUAGAGAAAGUUUAUGUUAUGUAGUGUUUUUUUAUGUACUUAGUAAUACAUUAUUUUCGUGAACGGACAGAUUUUAUUGAUGAUACGAGAACUUUGCUAGAUGGAAUAUCGCAGCCCGCUCAUCAAGCGGCUGCCUUUGUAUGAGGUGAAAUCGGGAGAAAUUGUCCUCAAGCUCGACCUUCAACUAUUUAACCGCCGUUGAUCGUAGUCUUUCAAUAUUAGUGAUGCAUUUUCUCAUCGAUUUACAUUUAAUCUGUGUAUAACUGCCAAGACAAAAUGAAUUUUCAUAAUCCUGUAUAUAACUGUACGUUUUUGAUAAUGCAAGUAGUUGCAAAUUGUAUUGUUUUAUUAAUUGAAAUUUUCAGUACUACUUGAGGCCUAUGACUAUGAACAUAUCUGCUAUCACACACUAUUACGAACUAGAAUAAACAGAAUAAAAACGAAAAGAGACUUAUUAAAAUCUCGAAGGUGCCACAGAGGGGCUUGAUCCCUGAGAGAUUUUUAAAAUUCUUAUUUUAAAAAGCCGAAGGCUUACCGCCUUUUAAGGGUGAGAGAUUUGAAGAAACAAAAGUUCUGACAGCGCUCCAAAUACCAUUAACCCUGAGAGGUCCCUGGGGAAUUGGGGCGAUUCGUGAUUGGUGGAAGGGGUUUUCGGGACCGUGAAGCUUUCCUGCUGCUCCGAUCCCGACGCGACUUAUCUCAUUCGAUGUAGAAUGACUUUUUACAUAGGUAAUGACUAAAUAUUUCAAGUUUUAACGAAAAUAACGAGAGAUUGGGAGCAAAAAGGGGAAAAAAAUGGGAAACUUCUAAAAUAGAUUGCAUAUACGAUUCCAAAAAAUUAAAGAGUCCAAUUAGUUCUAAUGGAAAGAACAACUUUCCGUUUAACCGAAAAGACUAAAUUUGCAUUACUUAUUUUGUGGUUCGCGAGAUAUCUGCGAAAGAAAAAGACACCCAGAUUGACUUUUAGCUUGAUUGUUGACUAGCAGACGACUGUAAAUUUUAACAGGAUAACAGUCAAUCUGCUUGUGGCAACAGUGGCAUGGCGAAUUGAUGGAUUGAAUGUUUGUGAUAGAUUUCAUCUCGUGAAACACUGUGUUUUUAUUUCAUAUGUUAACUAUUGCUGAAUUCUAAUAA